rnacentral:rRNA from 1 species
CGCGGUGAAUACGUUCCCGGACCUUGUACACACCGCCCGUCAAGCCAUGGAAGCCUGGGGACCUGAAGCCGGUAACCGCAAGGAGCCGUCUAAGGGUAAAACAGGUAACUGGGGCU